rnacentral:tRNA from 1 species
AGCACGGUGGUGCAGUGGUUAGCACUGUCGCCUCACAGCCAGACGGUCCUGGGUUCGAAUCCCGGCCUGGGAG